GAUGAACGCUAGCGGGAGGCCUAAUACAUGCAAGUCGAGCGGUAGAGUGACUUCGGUUGCUUGAGAGCGGCGAACGGGUGAGUAACGCGUACACAAUCUACCUUUAAGAGGGGAAUAGCCCUGGGAAACUGGGAUUAAUGCCCCAUGGCAUCACGAAGUGGCAUCGCUUUGUGAUUAAAGCUGAGGUGCUUAGAGAUGAGUGUGCGUCUGAUUAGCUAGUUGGUGCGGUAACGGCGCACCAAGGCGACGAUCAGUAGGGGGCGUGAGAGCGUGGACCCCCACACGGGUACUGAGACACGGACCCGACUCCUACGGGAGGCAGCAGUAAGGAAUAUUGGUCAAUGGAGGAAACUCUGAACCAGCCAUCCCGCGUGCAGGAAGAAUGCCCUAUGGGUUGUAAACUGCUUUUAUCUGGGAAGAAAAGUCGGCAUUUAUGCUGAUCUGACGGUACCAGAGGAAUAAGCACCGGCUAACUCCGUGCCAGCAGCCG
rnacentral:rRNA from 1 species